AUUGAACGCUGGCGGCAGGCUUAACACAUGCAAGUCGAGCGGGGGGAGGUAGCUUGCUACCUAACCUAGCGGCGGACGGGUGAGUAAUGCUUAGGAAUCUGCCUAUUAGUGGGGGACAACAUUUCGAAAGGGAUGCUAAUACCGCAUACGCCCUAAGGGGGAAAGCAGGGGAUCUUCGGACCUUGCGCUAAUAGAUGAGCCUAAGUCGGAUUAGCUAGUUGGUGGGGUAAAGGCCUACCAAGGCGACGAUCUGUAGCGGGUCUGAGAGGAUGAUCCGCAACACUGGGACUGAGACACGGCCCAGACUCCUACGGGAGGCAGCAGUGGGGAAUAUUGGACAAUGGGGGGAACCCUGAUCCAGCCAUGCCGCGUGUGUGAAGAAGGCCUUUUGGUUGUAAAGCACUUUAAGCGAGGAGGAGGCUACCGAGAUUAAUACUCUUGGAUAGUGGACGUUACUCGCAGAAUAAGCACCAGCUAACUCUGUGCCAGCCGCCGCCGUAACAC
rnacentral:rRNA from 1 species